rnacentral:tRNA from 1 species
UCCCUGGUGACUUACACGUUAAAGAAUCUGCCUGAAAUGCAGGAGACCCGGGUCCAACCCCUGGCUCAGGAA